ACGAACGCUGGCGGCAUGCCUAACACAUGCAAGUCGAACGAGACCUUCGGGUCUAGUGGCGCACGGGUGCGUAACGCGUGGGAACCUGCCCUUAGGUUCGGAAUAACUCCCCGAAAGGGGUGCUAAUACCGGAUAAUGUCUUCGGACCAAAGAUUUAUCGCCUUUGGAUGGGCCCGCGUUGGAUUAGCUAGUUGGUAGGGUAAAAGCCUACCAAGGCGACGAUCCAUAGCUGGUCUGAGAGGAUGAUCAGCCACACUGGGACUGAGACACGGACCAGACUCCUACGGGAAGCAGCAGUGGGGAAUAUUGGACAAUGGGCGAAAGCCUGAUCCAGCAAUGCCGCGUGAGUGAUGAAGGCCUUAGGGUUGUAAAGCUCUUUUACCCGGGAUGAUAAUGACAGUACCGGGAGAAUAAGCUCCGGCUAACUCCGUG
rnacentral:rRNA from 1 species